rnacentral:rRNA from 1 species
GACGAACGCUGGCGGCGUGCUUAAUACAUGCAAGUCGAACGAAGUGGCGGACGGGCGAGUAACGCGUAAACAACCUGCCCUUCUGAGGGGGACAGCAGUUGGAAACUACUGCUACUAUCGCAUAUUGUGGGAGGGGCUUGCGUCUGAUAAGUUAGUUGGGGGGGUAACGGCCCACCAAGGCGAUGAUCAGUAGCCGGUCUGAGAGGAUGAACGGCCACACUGGAACUGAGACACGGUCCAGACUCCUACGGGAGGCAGCAGUGGGGAAUAUUGGACAAUGGGCGAAAGCCUGAUCCAGCCAUGCCGCGUGUGUGAAGAAGGUCUUCGGAUUGUAAAGCACUUUAAGUUGGGAGGCGUUACCAACAGAAUAAGCACCGGCUAACUUCGUGCCAGCAGCCGCGGUAAUUC